GGGACUGUAGCUCAGUGGUUAGAGCACGGGUCGCGGGUUCGAUUCCUGCCUGUUCCA
rfam:Serendipita vermifera MAFF 305830 unplaced genomic scaffold scaffold_87, whole genome shotgun sequence.